AGCUAAUAGAUACCCAGGUAGUCCACGCCCUAAACGAUGUCUACUAGUUGUUGGUGGAGUAAAAUCCAUGAGUAAACGCAGCUAACGCGUGAAGUAGACCGCCUGGGGAGUACGGUCGCAAGAUUAAAACUCAAAUGAAUUGACGGGGGCCCGCACAAGCGGUGGAUUAUGUGGAUUAAUUCGAUGCAACGCGAAAACCUUACCUGGCCUUGACAUGUAACGAACUUUCCAGAGAUGGAUUGGUGCUCGAAAGAGAACGUUAACACAGGUGCUGCAUGGCUGUCGUCAGCUCGUGUCGUGAGAUGUUGGGUUAAGUCCCGCAACGAGCGCAACCCUUGCCAUUAAUUGCCAUCAUUAGUUGGGCACUUUAAUGGGACUGCCGGUGACAAACCGGAGGAAGGUGGGGAUGACGUCAAGUCCUCAUGGCCCUUAUGGCCAGGGCUUCACACGUAAUACAAUGGUCGGUACAGAGAGUUGCCAACCCGCAGGGGGAGCCAAUCUCNGAAAGCCGAUCGUAGUCCGGAUUGUAGUCUGC
rnacentral:rRNA from 1 species